UACGUAGGGUGCGAGCGUUAAUCGGAAUUACUGGGCGUAAAGCGUGCGCAGGCGGUUUUGUAAGCCAGAUGUGAAAGCCCCGGGCUUAACCUGGGAAUGGCAUUUGGGACUGCAAGGCUUGAGUGCGGCAGAGGAGACUGGAAUUCCUGGUGUAGCAGUGAAAUGCGUAGAUAUCAGGAGGAAUACCGAUGGCGAAGGCAGGUCUCUGGGCUGACACUGACGCUCAUGCACGAGAGCGUGGGGAGCAAACAGG
rnacentral:rRNA from 1 species